rnacentral:rRNA from 1 species
UACGUAGGGGCCUAGCGUUGUCCGGAUUUAUUGGGCGUAAAGAGCUCGUAGGCGGUUCGGUAAGUCAGGUGUGAAAUCUCCACGCUCAACGUGGAGGAGCCACCUGAUACUGCCGUGACUUGAGUCCGGUAGGGGAGUGUGGAAUUCCCGGUGUAGCGGUGAAAUGCGCAGAUAUCGGGAGAAACACCGGUAGCGAAGGCGGUUCUCUGGGCCUGACCUGACGCUGAGGAGCGAAAGCGUGGGGAGCGAACAGG